UUUACCAUAUUUCAUAAUAAAUGCAUGAAAAACAAUUAUAACACUUCCAUUUUAAGACAAAUGCUGCACUUUCUUUGUAAUUUUACCGCAUUUCUUUAUAAAUGCGGGUAAAACAGGUAUACAAAUACCAUAUUUUAGGAUAAAUGUGGUACCUACUUUACAACCUUACCACAUUUCGUAAUAAAUGCAUGAAAAACAAUUAUAACACAUCCAUUU
rnacentral:lncRNA from 1 species